AUGUGGACAGAGGUUCCAUUUCAGGGAAAUAUUAAAGCAGAAAUUUCAAAGGGACUUCAGAAAAUGCGUAAAGCUCACUGGAAUCAAGUUUGGGAGACAAGUUUCCACAACACAGUCGUUAUUGCUAUUAAAAAGUGAGGAUCACACCUACGCUGUCUGAUUUUGUCCAGUAGCGGUAAGUUUGCAUUGGUGCAGUGCUCACCCAAACAUUUUGACACAUAAUCACUUCCUGGGGAUUGUCCAUUACCUGUUUUGAGGCCAUGGCAUGUAUUGAGUUUAUGCCCUGUGUCUGUGUGCUGUCAGCAAUGAGCUCUCUGUGUUGGGAGCUUUGGCUAAUGUGUAAUGUAACUAGGUGUGCAGGUAGCUAUGCUGAUCUUAAUUAAAAUGCUGCAGUAUCAUCUGAAAGCUCCUUCAGUGUUUUAAGAGAGUAUUGUUGC
rnacentral:lncRNA from 1 species